rnacentral:lncRNA from 1 species
ACACGUUUUAAUUUUAUCUUUCUAUUUUCUUUCAGCCGGAUUAAAACUGACGUCAUUAAUUCAGUUCCACGAUUAAAAAAAUUAGAACGAUUUAUGAAAUAUCUAUAAAAAUAGUGACAGAUUCACAUAUAUAUCGUGCUAAAAACCACAAUGAUGUUAUCUCAGUGUUCAUAGAGCGACUAACACUGCGGUUUCCUGUGAGGGUAUUCUUUUGUCGGCUAUGUAAAUAUUCACUGAGAUUACACACACAGUUUUACCCAAAGGGACGUAUCUGCUAAUCCAAUUAUUAUUUUAUGAUAUCGUCAUAUCACCGAUUGCAUUGAUAACGCGAAAUUAUAUUUCAGAAUUCGUUAAACAUUACGUGAUUCUGUGCGAAUAAUGUUUGUUUGAAGAAUUCAAUAAAUUGAUUGGCAAACAGAAAAUAUUAAAAUAUUUGAAAUUUCUGAUGUGUAAUUUUACGAUGGGCUGGAACGAGACGAGGUAAAAAAUAGAUGUUACACAGGAAUUCUUGCGGAAAUGAAAUAAAUGAUCAAAGAUUUGCAAAACAUGUUUUCGUACGGUUGAAAUCCUAAGAAUUGUGAAAUCGAUUCUCAAAAUUAUUACGAAUUUUUAAAUUUAUAUGCGAUGAAUCACAUACAAUAUUUUGCUUCAUCGUGUAAAUAGCUUUAAUUGAAACGUCAGAUAUUUGCGUUAACAGAGAUAAUAUUGGAAUGCAGCUUGUUUGCAUAUCGUUGGUUUUGUCUGGGAAGAAAAAAACUGAUGAGAAAUUUUUGAAGAAAAAAUGGAAUAAUUUAAACAAUAAUUCGAAACGAAUUGAACAAAACAGGAAACGUAUCACGAUACAUGCAAAAUUGAAGUAAAGACACAGAUACAGCAAAUUUUUAUAUAACAAAACAAUAUUAUCUGGAAUUUAAUAGUAAAAAUAAAUGUCAUUGAUAAAAUAAAAUAUCAUUAUUCUCUGUCAGAUGAAUUCCAUAUUCAUGGCAAUAAUAAAUUUUAAAUUAUCUCUUCUAUUCUAGAUAAAAUCAAUCUUAUCUACUUGUUAUAUCAAGUUAAACAUAAACUAUAAAUGAAAUAUUUAUACAUAUAUUAAAAAUUAAUAUAUAAUAUUAACUUAUUAUAAUAUAAUUGUCGAUAACUAAAGUUUCAAGUAAUUUCAAGUAGCCAACAGCUUCGAAAGAAUCGUACAAUACAAUCAGCAUACUGUUACUCUUCUCACAUAUUUUAACAAAGUAUCGGCUUAUUAAGCGUAUUAACAUGUUUUCCAAUACGUGCAACACGCGUUUAACACGUGUUGCUGAGUUCAUCAUGACGAACGAGGUAAAUCUCUCCUGUUUCGUGGCCUAACGUAGGCUGGGUUCGAAUAAAAAGAGACUCUCACGAAGCUAACGAGGCUAUGCAAAGUUUCUUCACUUUCGAAAGAGGCUUUAAUGAAACGACGCACGAAAAACGGGCAUCGACUCGGAGAAACUUUUGCGUUUUCGAAAAGAACCGACUCGAAACGCGGAGAUUAUUAAUCCAUUAAGGAUGGAGUGGUGAAAUAUUUACGCGUGUAAUUAUUCAUCAUUUAUCAAGGAUGAUUCUAAUGCAUUCGAAUGUGAAUAAAUAUUAAUUGUAUUAAUCGACGAUACGUAAAUAUUCAUAAGAUAAGAUAGAGGCAUAGAAAACAUUUCCAUGAUUUAAUGAAAUUUUGUAACAUUGUUGAUUGAAAGAUGAAAUACCAAACCAAAAAUUCUUGGAAUUAUGAUAUAAGCCUCGAUACUUUCGAGAUUGAAAGAGAAAAAAAUUUCUUCUUAUUAAUUGUUUAUUCCAAUAGAAUUAUAUUUUGUGAAAAAGAUAUAUUGUAUCAAAAUUUCUAGAUCUAUUUUUUUUAAUGAAAACAAAAUGACGGAGAUGAUACGAAUUUUCGUAGGAACAAGCAUAUGUGAAACAAUGCGACUUUUCUUUUUUUUUUUUUUUUUUUGUCACGAGUAUUUGUGGAUGCAAUCUCGAGUAAUAAUCACGCCCAAGAUGAAAUCUCGAUGGUACAGACAUAAUCUGCGUCCAAUCUGCCAAUACUGUUAGCUAAUAACACGACAUUAGUCGGUGAAUAUUGCAGCAACGUCGAAAGGAGAUGGUAUAAAUUCCAAAUGAGUAAUUUCGAGGCGUAUUGGCGUUUUAGCCAAUUCAUUGGAAUCGAAUUGAAUCAUCGAAGGAAUGUAAAAACAUAAUUUGAAUCGUGUGUUGAAUAUAAUUGUACAAACGUAAUUUAAGGAUCUAAUUACAAACAUUUCGCGUGAAAAUCUCGUGGUUGAGGAUAUCCUGUUUAUUGGGCAACAAUAUUAUUUUCAUGCGAAUAUUGUUUGGAUAGAGAAUACUUGUUGAAAUUGUAUCUUAAGACUCGAUUACAAGAAAUUACAAAUUACGUGAUAUUGAAUCUUGGCAUUCCUUAAUCUAUUUCAUCUUUAAUUUUAGAAUUUUGAAUGUACUUGAAGUUUAUAUUCGAUAAAUGUAUACCAGUGCCAGUAUGUAUGCAUGGGUUGAAAGUUACAUUCGAUUUCAAGAUGGCUAAUUAACGUUAGAAUGAUCGUAAUUUGGAUUAUGAAAGUUCACGUUGCAUCCUGGUGUAAGCAGUGAGAUAAUUGUAUCGGUGUUUUCUCACGAUUCUUACCUCUGUACUGAGACGCGGCAUGAAAGUGGUAAGAUGCUCCGUCAAGGUCUUCGUCAGCUUGAAGAGGACUUAGGCUCAAAAGUUUUGGCGCCUCGGCGUGGCCACGAAACCAACGCAUUUCUGGAAUAGCAUUAAUAAUAAUGAUAAUUAAACCUCUCAUAUAUAAAUAUUUUUAUCGAAUGGAGCAAAAUUAUUCUUAUUUCUUCUAUUGCCUUUAUCCAAUACGUUAAUUAUAUUGCAUAUAUAUAUGUAUAUUGCAGAAUAUCGAAAGAUUGCAAAGUAACGAUCGAUCGGCAUAAUAAUAAUUUAUAAAUGUGAAACGGGUUACACUUGCGGUGAAUGGAUUUCGCGUGAACGAAUGGCGACAGUUUCCGCCGUGUUCGCUGAACCGAGGCCCUUCCUUUCUAUCUCGCGAUUGCACUUGUUAUUGAUACUGAAUAUUGUAGUAAAAAAAAAAGGAAAAAAAAAAAAAGGACUUGAUGAACGAGCAGCCUUGGCAAAGAAUGGAGGAUGUGAUAAAUUACGAGGCUAUCGUUGUAUCGACUCAUUGCUACGUUUGAUUCAAAGUGCGUCGAUCACAUCGACGACGUAGAUUACACGUAGAUAUUUCGAAAAAAUCAUACAUUUGAAAAAUUCACGUUUCUUUCUUUUUUAUUUUGAUCUAUUGAAUUAUUCAUUGACUAAGAUUCAUCGAUAUACAGGUAAGAGAAAUUUAACAAGUAUCGAUUACGUGAUCGACAAAUUGUAUCCCUGCAAACCAGUGCCUCUUCUUGCGGGCAUUAAAGUCUCCAACACUGUGGCGCUAGCAUCGUUCGCUCCUUCUAAAGUAACAUUACAUUUCAAGAUUUCCCGGCGAGCAUGGAAAUUUUGCGACGCGUAUAAUAAUCCUGUUUCCACGAGGCGGCCGCAUAACGAGAUGAUUAAUACCGCGAAAUCGAGUUAUGCAAGGUGUUAAUGCAUCGAUUAUGUAGCCACCGAGGGAACCGUGGGAGAAAGAGACGAGGGGACGAGAGAGGCGACUUUCUCCGAUGCAAAUAUGUGUGCCGUCUCCACGAUGCUUCUUCACGUCUCAGCUUUUCACUUUUCAUUCAGGCGACUGAUGCCUAUCAAAGAAGAUGAUCAAGAUCGAGGAUCAAGGGUUGGCCUCCCGUCGACAGGAAGUUCACGGUCAAGUGAACUCGACUCGAGAGUGCACGCUUUGUGACACUUGGUCGGUUUAGCGAUCAUCUACUCAGAAAAGUAUGCGGAGGAGCGACAAUCGUUGUAGUUAAAAACUGGAAUCGUAUUUUAUUUCGAGUUUCUUGUAUUGUUUCGACAGUUACGAUUUUAUGAUAUACCGUAUGUAUACAAAGAUAUUCUUUUUGAAAAUAUAAAUUCCUUCGUGACGUUAUGAUAUACUCAACCUGUCAUACGAAUCCCAUCGAAAUUUGAAAUCGACUAAUGCAUUUUCUUAGAAUUUCCAAGAAUAUCAGAAGAAUAUAGAAUUUCUUAGUCGAUUUCGAAUUAAUAUAAAUUAAAAUAGCAGGGAAUUUCGAUGAUUCUAAACUUUGGCACAUAGUUUACGUGUGUUUUAACGUUGAAUGAAUUGCAUGGUUAGAUAGAAAAAUAGUUUUUCUUUUUUUUUUUUUUUUUAGAAUUAUGUGGAACGCGAAUUUUACGCUCCAAUUCUUGGUUUCAAUUCUACAAAGCGGAGAGACUUAAGUAGGUGCAGGUUUUACGUCUGGUUAAAGGAAUCAAGGAGAUUUUGUCUCGUUCUCAUUUAUUAUUGAUGGUCGAGCCUGGUCACGGGUAGAUGAUUCGAGGAACGAUUGGAAAGUUAGAGAGAAGAACAAUUUGCGAUACAAUUGUGUUUGAAAAAUGAUAUAGAAACAGGUAGAUUUUAAUUAUUCGAUUACGGUCCGAAAAGAAACGAAGGAACUUUGUAAUCUUUUUAAAUCGCAAGAAUAUCUCCUUUUCUGUCUUGAGCAAUCGACAAUUGAAAAAAAGUAAAUUAUUAAGAAGAAGGACCAAACAUUAAUGUAAUCAUUUUAGUUUAAUCGAACUUAAACAAAAAUUAUUCUAUCUUCCAUCCUCAACUUCGAAAUUCCACCAUCUUUCACUAUUCAAAUUUGUCACUCAAUCCAAAAAUUUCAACAAUUUCAACAAGAUGAUUCAAAAAAAAACCACUCGUCCACUAAUCUUGCCCACGAAUAAGCGCACAAACAAGCCACUUAUGCACGCGCCUGACGAUAAAUCCCACGUCACGGACCGCGAGUCGUUAAGGGUUUGAAGAAUCUGGAAGCUCCAGUUACCCGUUCGCAGAUUUAUCGUUCCACUUUCGUGGCUGCCGAUUCGUUUCAGCCUCCGGCGUUAAACGUCCCUUCGACGUUCCAGAUUGUAAAUCUUCGUUGCAUCCGUUAUCGAAAAUCGGUAAUACCAGCAGCCAUUUAGCCACAGAUUUCGCGAUAUUCGCGUGGUUAAACUUUGCCAAUAUGAUGAGCCAAGCGAUGAUUGGCCGAUUAUACUCGACCUUUGGGGGGGAGACUUUAAUUUUGCACCAUUUUUAUUUCUGGAACGUGUUUGUACGCGUGCGUUAUACGCGCGUUGUUGUGUGAGUUUAAGAUAUUGGACGAGCAUGAUUUGCAAUUCAAUGGAUGAAAGAUGUGUAAGGUCGAGUGGAGCGGUGAAGGAUUCGUUUAUUUCUUCUUCUUCUUCUUCUAUUAUUUCGCUAAUUUUUUAUUGCUUCGUUUCGCGUGUAAAUUUAGCUUUAGUUUUAAUUUUAGUUUCCUUUUUAUAUAUAUAUGUUAUAUAAGAUAAGAUUCUAAUUUUUUAGAAUAAUAUUAUAUGGAAUUCGUUAGAUUGGGUUGUUAGUUUAUAUAACUAAUGAUGUUUUUUUAUUACUUUUGAAAAGUAAUAAUCAAAAUUAUGCAAGCGAGAGUUUCCCGGCAAUCUUUGAAUAGAUGUCACAUCCGUGUUACGUGUGCAUCAUGGAAUAAAUAUUUAUCACACACACGUUCACUCGAGUAGAGAUAUUGGAAUACGAUUGAUAAUGUUAAAAACGCAAUGAUAAAAAAUAUUAUAUCAUUUUCUUUUUUUAUUGUAUAACACAUGGUUAUAUAUAUAUAUAGCGUGAUAUUUCUAUCAGAUCUGAAGGGGAAUUUUCGUUAUACAGGGACAGGAUAAAUGUAUGAUACGGAUGAGUCAAACGUGAAAUCAAUUUCACGAUAAUUUUCAACCGCGAAGCAUUCUCUGUUGCAAAAACGCGAAAUAGACAAGCUUGUCAUAAUGGAAGUGUGGUAUACACGUAUCUAAAACGCUCGAAUCCAUUAAGUAAUUUAUUCGUCGCGCUUUCACUGAUCUUCCAAGUAAUAAAAUAAGGGAGAUGGCGCGUAGGCAAGGAUCGAACGGAAAUAAAGUGUAACUGAAACGCGAAAAAAAAUUGGAAUCACUUUCUCAACGAGGCAAAUUAUCUCAGGGAUUUUAAAACGAUUGCGCAAUUAUUAAAUAUAAACUCGAUGUAUUGCUGUAUCGUUUUUCCUGUUCUUAUCUAUUUGAAUUACGUUGUGUUAAUUAUACGACCCUUGGAUAAAUUUAAUUUGAGAAAUUCUACGAUUACAUUCAAAAUUAUAGUAUUUUCACUGUUGUACUUUUUUAAACUUGUGACAUUUUUCUGAAUGUUGCACGUUCAACAAAAUUGAAGAAAUAUUCAGUUGGAAUAUUUGGAAAUUAGAAAUCUUUUAAACUAAACCAUUUAAUAAUUUAUUUAACACACAAUUCAAAUAUAUCUUUUCAGAAAAAGGUUUAAAGGUUUAAAUUUUUUAAUAUUUAAAUUAUAAUAAUAAUUCUUAUAUGAGAAAUGUAAUUCAAAUACCAAACUAUGAAUAAAAAGUAUAGAUUACUUAUAUUAAUUCUAUAUCAUAAAAGAACAAGAUUAUAAUUAAUUUUUUAUCAAGUAUCGUAUUACUUAAGAAUGAAAAGAAUUCGUCGAUCGCUCUACAUUCAAAUUGAAUCUCAUUUUCACGAUUGUUUCGACCUGAUCGCAACGAGAUCGGAGUCAAACGGUCUCUGAGUCAUCGAUAAACGUGGUCGAUGAAAGUAGAAAGUAUCCAAAGGGAUCUGGGGGUGGUAGUAUCGAUCUGAAAAACUUUCCUCGGGCUAAGUGAAUCGUACUACCGGGUAAUUGGCCUCGAUCUAUCGAUCUUACGAUCGACUGGAACAACUAGAACUGCAUUUUUAUUAACCAGGUGUUUCGUGGACUUGUAACGCCAAGCGUUUUUCCUCUCCUUUCAAGAACGAAUCGUUUGAGUAAGCGAUAUAUAAUUGCAUUCUAAGAAAUAGUUUUUGAUAGGUAAGAUUGAUAGACUGAUAGAAAAUAUUGGAUGGAAUCUUGCAAAAUUUCAAAUUUUGUUCAGAAAAAUAUUUUACGUGACAUUUGUGUAGAUUUUUUAGUAGAUUAAGAUAUAUUUGAUUGGAAAUUGUAAUAAUUGUAACGAUACAUUUUUAUAUGUAAAAUGGGAGUUUGUGGAAAAGAAUUUUGAACGAAAACUUUCUCCAAACUUUCAUCGAUUAGUGUGCACGAUACGAUCUAUUUUUAUUCUAUUUCUUUCUGUCACAAGCAUAAACUAUUGUAAAACCUUCAAUAAAUCACAAUUAUGGAAACGAUUGAACGAUUCUCUUAAUUAUACUUCCUUAUAUUGUUCGAGAUUGGUCAUUAUUUAGAGACAAUCGACAAACUAAAUUACACUUUUAUACGUCGUAAUUUAGCCGACGGCUAUGUCUAACACAUGUAUCCAUGGUUCCAAAGUGACCCACUUACUUUGCUACAGCAUUCGUUGCACACACAAUCGUUGGCACGAGAUAUAAUUCGAGGUAUAUACGUUCGUGCGUCGCACAAGUUGCGUACAACUCGAUUCUUUUGGGACGAUCGUCUCGGGAAUGUUGAUCGUAAACUACUUUCACACCGAGAAGAAUUCAACCGGCAAUGGUUGCAGCCGGAAAUUUGCAGUUGGAGGUUACAAUGUAUUUGCACGAUCGAUGUUAUGAAGCAUACGUAAGUAUAUAACAUCUAUAUA